rnacentral:rRNA from 1 species
GUCUACGGCCAUACCACCCUGAACGCGCCCGAUCUCGUCUGAUCUCGGAAGAAGAGGUGACACUGAAAGUCCAAGUCAUAUCUCCAGAGCCAUAAAAU